rnacentral:antisense_RNA from 1 species
UGUUAUGGCGGCUGUGUGCUGGGGCACCUUCGGGUGCGCCGGGUUCUCUUUGACCGGUCUUCCACACCCGCGCACAGCUGCCACCCAC